ACUAAGUUUCAACAACGGAUCUCUUGGCUCUCGCAUCGAUGAAGUACGCAGCGAAAUGCGAUAAGUAAUGUGAAUUGCAGAAUUCAGUGAAUCAUCGAAUCUUUGAACGCACCUUGCGCUCCUUGGUAUUCCUUGGGGCAUGCCUGUUUGAGUAUCAUGAAAU
rnacentral:rRNA from 1 species